rnacentral:rRNA from 1 species
AACGAACGCUGGCGGCAUGCCUAACACAUGCAAGUCGAACGAGACCUUCGGGUCUAGUCGCGCACGGGUGCGUAACGCGUGGGAACCUGCCCUUAGGUUCGGAAUAACUCCCCGACUGGGGUGCUAAUACCGGAUCAUGUCUUCGGCCGAAAGAUUUAUCGCCCUUGGUUGUGCGCGCGUUGGAUUCGCUAGUUGUUAGGGUAAAAGCCUACCAAGGGGACGAUCCGUAGCUGGUCUGAGAGGAUGGUCAGCCACACUGGGACGCGGAAACGGCCCAGAAUCCUACGGGAGGCGGGAGUGGGGAAUAUUGGAAAAUGGGGGAAAGGCUGAACCAGCAAGGACGCGAGAGUGAUGAAGGCAGUAGGGUUGUAAAGCGCAUUUAACCGGGAUGAUAAUGACAGUACCGGGAGAAUAAGCCCCGGCUAACUCCGUG